rnacentral:rRNA from 1 species
CAAUAGCGUAUAUUAAAGUUGUUGCAGUUAGAAAGCUCGUAGUUGGAUUUCUGGUGGGAGCGAUCGGUCUGGCGCUUAGCGCGAGUACUUGCAUCGUCUCCGGCCAUCCUUGGGGAGAGUCUGUCUGGCAUUAGGUUGUCGGGCAGAGGAUCCUCAUCGUUUACUGUGAAAAAAUUAGAGUGUUCAAAGCAGGCUUAUGCCGUUGAAUAGAUUAGCAUGGAAUAAUAAGAUAGGACUUUGGUACUAUUUUGUUGGUUUGCGCACCAAAGUAAUGAUUAAUAGGGGCAGUUGGGGGUAUUCGUAUUCCGUUGUCAGAGGUGAAAUUCUUGGAUUUACGGAAGACGAACUACUGCGAAAGCAUUUACCAAGGAUGUUUUCAUUAA